rnacentral:rRNA from 1 species
UGGGGAAUUUUGGACAAUGGGCGAAAGCCUGAUCCAGCAAUGCCGCGUGUGUGAAGAAGGCCUUCGGGUUGUAAAGCACUUUUUGUCCGGAAAGAAAUCCUUGGCUCUAAUACAGUCGGGGGAUGACGGUACCGGAAGAAUAAGCACCGGCUAACUACGUGCCAGCAGCCGCGGUAAUACGUAGGGUGCAAGCGUUAAUCGGAAUUACUGGGCGUAAAGCGUGCGCAGGCGGUUUGCUAAGACCGAUGUGAAAUCCCCGGGCUCAACCUGGGAACUGCAUUGGUGACUGGCAGGCUAGAAGUAUGGCAGAGGGGGGUAGAAUUCCACGUGUAGCAAGUGAAAUGCGUAGAGAUGUGGAGGAAUACCGAUGGCGAAGGCAGCCCCCUGGGCCAAUACUGACGCUCAUGCACGAAAAGCGUGGGGGAGCAAAACAGGAUUAGAUACCCCUGGUAGUCCACGCCCUAAACGAUGUCAACUAGUUGUUGGGGGAUUCAUUUCCUUAGUAACGUAGCUAACGCGUGAAGUUGACCGCCUGGGGAGUACGGUCGCAAGAUUAAAACUCAAAUGAAUUGACGGGGUCAUAGCUGUUUCCU